CAUGCUUUACACAUGCAAGUCGAACGGUAACAGGUCUUCGGAUGCUGACGAGUGGCGAACAGGUGAGUAAUACAUCGGAACGUGCCUAGUAGUGGGGGAUAACUACUCGAAAGAGUAGCUAAUACCGCAUGAGAUCUACGGAUGAAAGCAGGGGACCUUCGGGCCUUGUGCUACUAGAGCGGCUGAUGGCAGAUUAGGUAGUUGGUGGGGUAAAGGCUUACCAAGCCUGCGAUCUGUAGCUGGUCUGAGAGGACGACCAGCCACACUGGGACUGAGACACGGCCCAGACUCCUACGGGAGGCAGCAGUGGGGAAUUUUGGACAAUGGGCGAAAGCCUGAUCCAGCAAUGCCGCGUGCAGGAUGAAGGCCCUCGGGUUGUAAACUGCUUUUGUACGGAACGAAAAGCCUGGGGCUAAUAUCCCCGGGUCAUGACGGUACCGUAAGAAUAAGCACCGGCUAACUACGUGCCAGCAGCCGCGGUAAUACGUAGGGUGCAAGCGUUAAUCGGAAUUACUGGGCGUAAAGCGUGCGCAGGCGGUUUUGUAAGACAGUGGUGAAAUCCCCGGGCUCAACCUGGGAACUGCCAUUGUGACUGCAAGGCUAGAGUGCGGCAGAGGGGGAUGGAAUUCCGCGUGUAGCAGUGAAAUGCGUAGAUAUGCGGAGGAACACCGAUGGCGAAGGCAUCCCCUGGGCUGCACUGACGCUCAUG
rnacentral:rRNA from 1 species